rnacentral:lncRNA from 1 species
AUAGGGCUGUUCACGAACCGAGCCGAGCCGAGUUUUGACCGAGUCGAGCCGAGCUUUAAAUUUUUUCUUAUCGAACCGAGCCGAGCCGAGCUUUCUUAUCGAACAAAAAAGUGUGUUCAAGCUCGAGCUCGAUAACUAACGAGCCGAACACGAGCUUGUUCACGAACAAAUACGAGCCGAGUCGAGUCGAGCCGAGCCGAGCC